UCUAGAUGCAAAAAACACCAUUACAUAACACAUAUUAGAAUCAGUUGCAGGUGGGCAUAAUCAAGCAAAAAUGCACCGUUACAUCGCACAAACUGAUUUUCUUUCCGAUUUUUUUUUGGCUUCUUUGACUUUCUUGCCGGAAUGUGAGGUGGCAAAUGAAACAUACACAGUGAAUCACUGGCUGAACAUUGCACCGUGUUUAAUCAGAACAUGUUGUUGAUUAGUGAAGAAGGGAUUAGUGAAUCACUUACCUUUUACUUGGCUGAACAUCGUGAUUUCUUGUUCAAAACACGUUGCAGACUGCAUCAGGAGGAGAAGGUUUAGGGAGACAAUAUCGUACAGAGACAAAUGGUGGUCAGGUUUCAGUCUGGGAAGAACCAUCGGAGAAUAGA